rnacentral:lncRNA from 1 species
AAUGAAUGAAUGGAGGAAUCAGUAAUGGAGGAACCAAUGAAUGGAGGAAUCAAUGAAUGAAUGAAUCAACGAUGGAGGAAUCAAUGAAUGGAGGAACGAUGAAUGAAUGGAGGAAUCAAUCAAUGAAUGGAGAAAUCCAUCAAUGGAGGAAUCGAUGGUGGAGGAACCAAUAAAGGAAGGAAUCAAUGAAUGGAGGAAUCAAUCCAUGAAUGGACGAAUCAAUGACGGAGGAAUCGAUGGAUGAAUGGAGGAAGCAAUGAAUGAAUGAACCGAUGAAUGAACGAACCAAUGAAUGGAGGAAGCAAUGAAGGAAGGAAUCAAUGAAUGGAGGAAGGAAUCAACGGAGGAAUCCAUCAAUGAAUGGGGGAAGGAAUCAAUGGAGGAACCAAUGGAUGAAUGGAGGAAUCAAUGAAUGAAUGAACCAAUGAAUGAAUGAACAGAUGAUGGAGGAGCGAUGAAUGGAGGAAUCAAUCAAUGAAUGGAUGGAGGAA